rnacentral:rRNA from 1 species
GAUGAACGCUGGCGGCGUGCCUAAUACAUGCAAGUCGAGCGAACAGACGAGGAGCUUGCUCCUCUGACGUUAGCGGCGGACGGGUGAGUAACACGUGGAUAACCUACCUAUAAGACUGGGAUAACUUCGGGAAACCGGAGCUAAUACCGGAUAAUAUAUUGAACCGCAUGGUUCAAUAGUGAAAGACGGUUUUGCUGUCACUUAUAGAUGGAUCCGCGCCGCAUUAGCUAGUUGGUAAGGUAACGGCUUACCAAGGCGACGAUGCGUAGCCGACCUGAGAGGGUGAGCGGCAACACUGGAACUGAGACACGGUCCGGACUCCUACGGGAGGGAGCAGUAGGGAAUCUUCCGCAAUGGUCGAAAGCCUGACGGAGCAACGCCGCGUGAGUGAUGAAGGUCUUCUGAUCGUAAAACUCUGUUAUUAGGGAAGAACAAAUGUGUAAGUAACUAUGCACGUCUUGACGGUACCUAAUCAGAAAGCCACGGCUAACUACGUG